AGAGUUUGAUCAUGGCUCAGAACGAACGCUGGCGGUAUGCCUAACACAUGCAAGUCGAACGCGAACGGAAUCUUCGGAUUCCUAUUAGAGUGGCGCACGGGUGAGUAACACGUGGAUAACCUGCCCUAGAGUCUGGGAUAACACUUCGAAAGGGGUGCUAAUACUGGAUAAGCUCACGCCUUCUCCGGAAGAAGUGAGAAAAGAUUUAUUGCUCUAGGAUGGGUCCGCGGUCCAUUAGCUAGUUGGUGGGGUAACGGCCUACCAAGGCUGCGAUGGAUAGCUGGUCUGAGAGGAUGAUCAGCCACACUGGAACUGAGACACGGUCCAGACUCCUACGGGAGGCAGCAGUGGGGAAUUUUGCGCAAUGGGGGAAACCCUGACGCGGCAAUACCGCGUGAAGGAUGAAGGCCCUUGGGUCGUAAACUUCUGUCAGAGGGGAAGAAAUACUCGCAAGAGUGCUGACGGUACCCUCAAAGGAAGCACCGGCUAACUCCGUGCCAGCAGCCGCGGUAAUACGGAGGGUGCAAGCGUUGUUCGGAAUUAUUGGGCGUAAAGAGCAUGUAGGCGGACUACUAAGUCUGGUGUGAAAGCCCGGGGCUUAA
rnacentral:rRNA from 1 species